ensembl:lncRNA
GGACCCAGAGACAGAGCAGCCUGCUGCGAGCUCGCUCCGUCACUUGGCAUGUCCGGCUCUUCCUGACCUCGUGGACUGUAGCCCGCCAGGCUCUUCUGUCCGUGGGAUUUUCCAGGCAAGAAUACUGGAGUGGGCUACCGUUUCCUCCUCCAGGGGAUCUUUCCGACCCAGGGAUUUAAAACCACAUCUCCUGUAGCUGCUGCGUUGUAAGGUGGAUUCUUUAAGCCCAGGGCAUGUUGCACCUUUCCAUUUAAGUCAUGUUCAAGAACGGACAACAUUAAGCCAGGACGACAGAAAUCCGAAUAGUGAUUGCCUAAGGGUCAGGGCUCACUGGAGGGAACACAGGAGGACGUUCAGGGAUGAUGGAAGUGUCUUGUGUCUUGACGGAUGUGGUGACUACAUGGGCACAGAUGGGUGACUUUUCACAACAGUUGGCUGAGCACAACACCAGCUUGUGGGAAGAAUGUGGUCUGGGGUGGGGCACCGCCCCUCGGAGGUGCCGUGCUGAAAAGAGAGGCUCACAGGCCCAGCUCUGAAAGCCCUGGGCCCGCAUCUCGCCUCCGCUCACCAGUCAGCCCAUCCCCACUCUGACCCUCAGACUCCGCAUCUGUGAGAUGGAGGUGAGCCUCAUACCCACCCCUCGCUGUCCGUGGAGACGAGAGGACAUGAGAGCGUGGAAGCACACCUCCGCCAGGCCUUCCCCGGGGCUCAGUGGUGGGGAAUCCACCUGCCGGUGCGGGAGAGACCAGAGGCUUGGGUUCGCCCUCCGGGCCAGGAAGAGCCCCAGGAGAAGGGAAAGGCCGCGCAUCCGUUUUCUUGCUGGGAAAUUCUGUGGACAGAGGGGCCUGCUGGGCCACAGUCCAUGGGGUCGCAAAGAGUCGGACGCGACAGCACACACACGCGCGUGGCCGUGUACCCCAGGGCUCCAUGCCUUUUAGGGCAAUGGAGACCCUGCGAGGCCUUGAAAACACCAACUCUCAGGCCACUCUCAGAGAUCUCACUCGGGAGGCUGAUGAGGGGCUGGGGAGGCCGUAUUUAAGGUGCACCCGGGCAGUGCAGCUUGAAGGCACCUCUCUGACCUGCCCGGGGAGGCCAGAGCCGGCACUCCCAGACCAAGGGCCACUGCCCUCCCAGGUGGGCUCCCUGCCCACCGCUCGCUGCCCCGGCUCCUGGUCCCCCCGUCUGCUCCCAGACCUCUAGGCUGUGUUUAGGUCUGAGCCGCUCAGCUUCCACUCCUCCGUCUACUGCCCGAACAGCCCAGCAUUUGGGCCCAGCGGCCCCCGAACCCAGGACUUCUGGUUCUGCGUCCGGAACAAGGGGAGGGCAGGUCAGCACCGGCCACUCUCGGCCCAGGAAGGCCUCGCUCCCACCAGGGGAGGUGGGCAGUGUUGCAGGGCCAGGCCUGCAGGGACCCC